UACAGAGGGUGCAAGCGUUGUCCGGAAUUAUUGGGCGUAAAGAGCUCGUAGGCGGUUUGUCGCGUCGAAUGUGAAAACCCGGGGCUCAACCCCGGGCCUGCAUUCGAUACGGGCAGACUAGAGUUCGGUAGGGGAGUCUGGAAUUCCUGGUGUAGCGGUGAAAUGCGCAGAUAUCAGGAGGAACACCGGUGGCGAAGGCGGGACUCUGGGCCGAUACUGACGCUGAGGAGCGAAAGCGUGGGGAGCAAACAGG
rnacentral:rRNA from 1 species